AUUUGAAAACAUUGGUUAUAUUACCAAGGCUUUGAUCGGGAUGUUAUAUUUAAGAAUAUAGAUAGAAUGAACCAAUAUGAACUGCAGGCAAAGUCUGAAGUCAGCCUCGGUUUGGAUUCCUAUUCUCAAGAGACUGGACAUUACCCUGAAUUCUACUAGCUCCUCCAAUUCCAUUUUCUCCCACGGAAUCACUAAGAACAAGAACCACUCUGUUCCAAAAGGCCUAUAAGCUGGAGGUGUACAACUCAAUGUAAAUUUCAUGGGAAAACCCUUGUACCUGAAUGCGAAACACUCAGAGCUCACCAAAAUGUUUGAUGCCAUAACGACAGAUGCUCAAACUGCAAACCAGGACAAGUUGAUGACUUCACACUGUGGACAGUUUUUCCCAAGAUGUCAGAACAAGACUCCCCAUCAUGAUGAGGCUCUCACCCCUCUUAACUGUUCUUGCUUAUGCCUGCCUCUUUCACUUGGCAGGAUAAUGCAGUCGUUAGAAUUUCACAUGUAGUAGCUUCUGAGGGUAACAACAGAAGCUGUUGUCAUCUCAACCUCAAACUUUUACAUAACAUCUCAGGGUGAAAUGUGGCUCUCUCCACCUUGCAUAAGGGUUCCCAAUAGAAAUUAACACAGAAAUAUUGCCUGUGUGUUUGCAGAGAAGAUGGUUUCUAUAAAAAGGUAUGAAAGCUGAAAUUAUAGUAGAGUCCCCUUUAAAUGCAUAUUGUGUGGAUGGCUCUCACCAUUUCCUAAGAGACACAUUGUAAAAUGUGACAGUAAUACUGAUUCUAGCAGGAUAAAACAUGUACCACAUUUGCUAA